GAUCCUAAUACCUACAUUUGUAUCAUAUUUAUGUUAUAUAUAUAACAUGAUUUAGAAUGUAAUAUAAAAUAUAAAUAAUUGUGAAAAAAAAACGGGACUAUGAGUUAUGCUUAUGACGUUAUAAAAAUGUGUUAAGUAUUCGAGAUAACAUGCACAACAAGUAAAUAUAUAUAUUAUAUACUUAUAGUAGAUACCUACCUAUCAGUAAAGUGUACCUACUCUCGACCAAUACUUAUAUGUAUAUCGGUACCACACUUGUGACAUAAUCGCGUGUGCGAAUAAAAAUAAUUUUAAAGAUGGUUCGAUGAACCGGUCGAUUGAGAAGACUCGCUGAGUCAACGACUUCUGAAAAACAAAAGAGACCAAACGAUUUAAGCAUAUAGCUUUUAAAUCCAUUCAAGAACAAAAUAACAACAAUUUCCCGUAACUAUUUACUGUCACAAAUCCGUAUUUACCUUUCGAAUUAUCUUUUUCCAUUUGAAAUACAAGAACAUAGGUAAGAAUAAAUGAAUAAAUAAACACAAAUGUAAAAAAAGACUAUCAUAAAA